rnacentral:piRNA from 1 species
UGUGAAGAUAGACAAUCUGCAUAUAUUUCAGG